UUUCCGGAAGCACUUCUCCCUGCUCCUUGAACUCGGUUAUUUCCGUGAAGUUGGUUCGGCUCCUGGGCCGCCAGUGCUCCGGAAGUACUCUGCUGUGUGUUUGCCUGGGUUCGAUAAGAAUAGUUAUUAAAAGUUUUGUGGGAAACUGCCGACCUGGUGGAACUGCCGCGUCCAGUCCAUAAGUCGGCUUUUGAAUGAGGGAAGUACAUAGUUUCGGUUAGGUUAAUAUGUUGUGAAAGGUUUGCCAAAUUCUUGCUUCAGUUGACAAAUCUGCGCCCAGGAUUGAAUCCGACAUCGAAUGUUUUUCGGUAAAGAAACGUUACAUGAAGUUUAAAGAAAUCCCGCGCUGGUGACGACGAGACAUAGAGUAUUUUGGACUUGAAAUGCGAUGUCUGGCCAUUUAUCUGGCUGGCUCAUUGCUGAUGUGAAGAGAACCGCUAAUUUUCCCAAUGCUGCAUCGCCAGUCUGCUUACACCGGGGUAAUCCGACGACAAUACAGAACGGGAAGGCUGCCAAGCGUUAAGAACUUAAUGGAGGAAAGGAAACUACAGAGACAGGAGAGAGGAGCUGCCCAACGUUGAUCGGAAGGGAACACCAUCAGGGAUGAUGGCAGAACAGCAAUGGCUGGAGUUUCUGGGAGCAAUUUGGAAGAUGCAGGUCGAGUUGCGAGCUCAACACUCAACCCAGCACAGAUGGAAAGCGUACUCGGGAACAGCCUGACUGGAUUCGAACCCAGAAACCUCCGUUCUGGACUCCGGCACUGAUCUCACUGUGCCACCAGCCGACUUCAAAUUAAAUAUUUAAUAUUCAUCAGUUGAAAAGAUUACAUGAAUUAUUUUAUCUUAGCCCUUUUCCUUAUCCUUCACUAUUAAACUUCAUUCCCAGUGUCAGCUAUCAUCGUCAACCAUUUUGGUCUUGUUCUUUAAACCUACGCCCCCUGCUUCUUUUCACAUGUAGAAAGCAAGAAUCUCAUUCAAAUGCCGGUUCAUACUUCACACCUUCCCUUCCCAAAUUCCACCCAAUUUGCUCCCCUCUACUAGUAGCUGUCCUUAGCAAAGUCCUUAACCUUUAGAAAUAAGUGUAGUUACUGGGUUUUAGAUUUAGUAAACUAGAAUCUAUUACAUCACAUAGGUGUGAGGUUUGUUAUUUCUAAGGCUUUUGGUAUCUUUAUAAAUGACAAACCAUACAAGAUAAUGCAUUUUUUUUUAACAGUGAAACAGACUUUGAAAAUAAGAUUCUGAGUUGCAAUUCAUUUGUCCAGAGGGCGCAGAGAGUGAGAUCUACAACAGCACAUCGUUCCCCUCCCCUCUCCAAGUAUAAAGCACUUUGAUACAGGUCCAAUGUCCAUAUUAAAUUGUAUUUGAACGCUCUAUCCACUCCAAUUCUUAUGAAAUAGUUCCUUCUGUUUUGCACACAACUGCUCAUUCCAAUUGCCUCCCCAUGCAGGACAAGCUUAUAGUGCCCCAUCCCCUCAAAUUCAGCUUGCACUGUCAAUGGAUUGUCCUCUGCAAUGUGAUACACCACCCUCCUCUUUCAGCACUGAGGAUGAUCAUUUCAUCUUGUCCAGUCAUCCAGUACCACCGAUAGCUAUUCCUCUUCUCACAGCACCUUCCUAUCCAAACUGUCAUCCAGGACCCUAACUUACUGACCUCUGAUUUAGUACACUUCACCUGGUUCUUAUGAUGCGGCCUCUCCUACACUGAGCGAAAAUGCAGUCUGGAUAACCACUUUGCAGAACAUCUUCAUUCAGUCUCUAAUUCUCUAUCCCCCUCCCACUGUUCCCUCUUGGCCUUUUACACCGGUUCCAUUAAGCUCAAGAAAAACCACCUCAUUUUCCAUCUGGGCAUGUUACACUUUCCAGAUCCAACAAUAAGUUUAAUAAUCUCCACAGACUGGUCAUUCCAGCAACUCUUACAUUUCCACCAUUCAGAUCAGUUUAUCUCUUCCUUCUUGUUAAUAUCCUUCCAGUUACAGAUCUCUAGACAAGCCUUUCAAUGUCCAUUAGCUUUUGUCACUCUGGACAACUCCACAGGGAAUUUCAUUCCUCCUGCUCUCCACUCCAUCUUAGACCUUCUGUUCUCUUUGCCUUUUUCUCUUUAUCUAUAACUCAUUUUACCUACUACCUUUUCCCAAUUUCUGAUCAAGAAUCACUAACUUGAAAUGGUUAAUUUUUCCUCGUUCCAAGGACGUUGCCUGAGUAAAUUGGUUUAUUAUUGCUACCAAGGUACAGUGUUUUAUGUGGCAUCCAUUUCAUUACAACAAUGCAUUGCGGUAUUGCAAGGAAAACAGUAAGAGAAUGCAGAACAGCGUUGCUGUUAGAGAAAGUGCAGUGCAGGCAGACAAGAAGGUGCAAGCACUACAACGAGGUACACUGAGCUCAUGAGUUCAUCUUUUCAUACUAAGAGCCAUUCAAUUGUUUGAUAACAGCAGGAUAGAGCUGUUGCUGAGCCUGGUUGUAUGCGUUUUCAGGCUUUCAUAUCUUCAGCUCGAAA